rnacentral:rRNA from 1 species
UACAGAGGGUGCGAGCGUUGUUCGGAAUUAUUGGGCGUAAAGCGCUGGUAGGUGGCUUGUUAAGUCGCGUGUGAAAGCUCCAGGCUCAACCUGGAAAGUGCGCGCGAAACUGGCGAGCUUGAGUGCCGGAGAGGGUCGCGGAAUUCCCGGUGUAGAGGUGAAAUUCGUAGAUAUCGGGAGGAACACCAGUGGCGAAGGCGGCGAUCUGGGAAGAUACUGACGCUGAGGUGCGAAAGCGUGGGGAGCAAACAGG